rnacentral:snoRNA from 1 species
UUUUACCUAUGAUGAGUUGCGAAAAUAUUUGCCUACAUUGUUCGACUGACAUGUGAGAAAACUUUGCAACAUCUGAGGAUAAA